AGCUGCCCGCCGCCGCGUAACCCCGAGGCCGAGACUCCUGGCCUGGCCUCCUUGGGCCCACGACGCCUGCCCCGCGGAGCGGACCCAUGGGCCUGAGGUUUGUGUGCGGGGCCUCAGGCGAGCGCUGGCGCAGCCUGUCCCCCAUCGUCUGCGCCCUGCGGGCCUGGCCCUCCCCGUGGAAGGACCGCGGGCUUCGGGGCCCCACGCUGGGGGGCUGACUCCUGCCACACACACAGCGGUGGCCGCGGGCCUGGGGCGGCAGCACAGCCAUUCUGCUCGGGCUGCGUGAGCUGACCCCGCUCUCUGUGCACCUACUUUUGCUGCGUUUGGUGCUGAGCCUGAAGUCCCAGGACAGGCGGCUGAGGGGGAAAGAUGGUGUGAAUUGGGUGGGCAGAGACAACUGAAAGCCACAGGACCCGGUUGGCACCUUUUUGGCCGCCUGCGCCUUUGCCUGCAGCCCCGCUCCCUGGGUCACCCGAAGGAGGAGCUGGCGCUCUUUCCGGGCGCAGAAGCACCCGACCCACGCUGGAGGAAACGGUCCCUCUGGGCAGGAGAAGCUUUGGGCCUGGCUGGAGCACACUCACGGAACCACGCCAACGCCUGGCCUGUAGCCAGCUCCCACCUCCCCUCCCACCUUCUAAAAUGCUUGCGGAUCUCACGUGGCCGACCCUAACCAGAUACACAUGGGGAAAGGAAUCAGGUGGCACACAUACCGCCUUUACUCCAUAGAGAACUUCCAAUUGUGGGUAAGAACAAAGCCCCACCUCUUCCUAAUAGAUGCAGUUUUCCACCUGCAGCCAAAAAGACAACCUGUUAUUAGCUUUUUUCCCAGAGGACAGGCAUCUCUAUGAAACUGCCAUUGCAAAAUUUGCCGACAGUGAGAUAACCAGCUCCAUUUUGCUUCUAACCUCCAUGCCCUCCUUGUUUACUGCUGCACGCAGGUUGAACUGUGGGAGGAACUUAGUUUAAAACAAAGAUGAUAACAGCCCUUUCCCAAAGGAAACCUUUCCUGGGGAUUAGCCUGCUUUUGUGGGACCAACAGAUUAGCCACAAGAUUAGAAACUACGGUUGAAGAGUCACGCAGCGGGAGGCUACAGGAUUCUGACCCUCCCCAAACUGCUCCUGGCGAUAACAUCACCAUCGUAAAGCCUAAGAUCAGCACUUGGUGGGUCACCUGGCACCACCCAGGCUCAUCUGAUGUUGUGGCACCCAGGAACUGACUCAGUGCGAAAACAGCUUCGACUCCCUGUGAUUUCAUCUCUGACCUGACCAAUGGGUACUUCUGACUCACUGGCUGCCCCCCACCCACCAGCUUAUCUUUAAAAACUCCAAACCCCAGAUGCUCAGGGAGACCGAGUAAUAAUAAAACUCCAGUCUCCCACACAGCUAGCUCUGCGUGAAUUACCUUUUCUCUGUUGCAAAUGCCCUUUCUUGAUAAAUUGGCUGUCUAGGUAACAGGGAAGGUGAACCCACUGGGCAGUUACACUUUUAUCCACCCUUCCAGCUGGAUCACGCGCCCUCUUCAAUGACAUGACACGCAGCUAGAGUGUAUGAGCUUGCUGCCGGCACCUUCCGUCCUGGAUCGCAUAGCAAGGCCUCAAUGGACAGCCAGGUGCCUGGUCCGGUCCCACUUUUUUUUCUGUCCUGUUCUCGUUUCCUCUUUGCUUGGCCAAAGAGGGUUGGGCCAGGGUCCUGAGUGCAAAGGCUUGGCUUGGUGAAUUAAAGUGGCAGUAGCCGUGUGGCAGAGAAAAUUUGUAGAUGGGUGAAAUCCUGGGCCUACACAGUGACAAAGUGUAUAUAGACAGCCAGCCUAGUUGGUGGAUGUGACAACCCCAGACUCUUCUAGAUUUGUGGAUCCGUGCACCUGCCAGACCUGUCUCUGAGCCAUCUGGGGAGGCUGGGUCGGCACAGACGCAACCCAGUCUCCUCCCACCUCCGAGAGUGCAGUGUCCUGAAUGGAGAACCCCAGCACCCAGAAGCAUCCACUGAAGGACUAAAUUCUACACAUGAAGGCAAACGUCCGUGGUUGACAGAAAUUACACUGGCCAGAAUCCCCAGUCCCCAUGAGGCUUGUCCAGACGCAGUGAACCAGUCGCAGCUGAUAACACACAGACCAUUCCCGAUCCCAGAGGUGCAUUUCAGGAUUCAUUCUAUUUCAUCAGAGACGGGGUCUUCCUGUGUUGCCCAGGCUGGUCUCGAACUCCUGGGCUGAAGCAAUCUUCCUGCCUUGGCCUCCCAGAGGGUUGGAAUUGCAGAUGUGAGGUAAUGUCCAGUUCCUUGC
rnacentral:lncRNA from 1 species